AACGGGUGCCAGGGGUGCGCGGGAGCGCUGAGAGGUCGACGCUCGGUCGACCAACCCUCCGAACCUGAUCUGGGUAAUGCCAGCGCAGGGACGGCACCACACCUCAGCU
rnacentral:ncRNA from 2 species